UACGUGGGGUGCAAGCGUUAUCCGGAUUUAUUGGGCGUAAAGAGUUCGUAGGCGUCUGGUUAAGUUCCGUUUGAAAUCCCGAGGCUCAACCUCGGACCCGGACGGAAAACUAAUCAGAUCGAGUCUGUUAGGGGGUACUGGAACUCAUAGUGUAGCAGUGAAAUGCGUUGAUAUUAUGAGGAACACCAAGGGCGAAGGCAGGUACCUGGGACACGACUGACGCUGAGGAACGAAAGCUAGGGGAGCGAAA
rnacentral:rRNA from 1 species